AUUGAACGCUGGCGGCAGGCCUAACACAUGCAAGUCGAGCGAGCGGCGGACGGGUGAGUAAUGUAUGGGGAUUUGCCCGAAUGAGGGGGAUAACUACUGGAAACGGUGGCUAAUACCGCAUACUAUCGGAUGAAUCCAUAUGGGAUUAGCUAGAAGGUGGGGUAAAGGCUCACCUGGUCGACGAUAUCGAGCUGGUCUGAGGGGAUGAUCAGCCACACUGGGACUGAGACACGUCCCAGACUCCUACGGGAGGCAGCAGUGGGGAAUAUUGCACAAUGGGCGCAAGCCUGAUGCAGCCAGGCCGCGUGUAUGAAGAAGGCCUUAGGGUUGUAAAGUACUUUCAGCGGGGAGGCGUUACCCGCAGAAGAAGCACCGGCUAACUCCGUGCCAGCAGCCGCGGUAAUAC
rnacentral:rRNA from 1 species